rnacentral:lncRNA from 1 species
UUAACACUUGUAAUCAGAUUCCAGGGCCAUCCCCAUACCCCGUCCGGUAUGGGCGCCAAAACUAUAAACCUCAAUACUCCGUCCGGUAUGAGGGUGAAACGGGCCGUCCCCAUACCCCGUCCGGUAUGGGCGCCAAAACACAUAAGAUCUCCAUACUCCGUCCCGUAUGAGAGACCAUGAUCCCGGUAGGGUUCUCUACGGACUCGGUCCGUCCACCAUCUCCCAGGAUAUCUAGUCAGGCUGACCACAUUAUACAAUUAUCAAUUCACAUAACCUUUCAUUCCCCUUUUCCUCAGUCAGCACCAUCAAUUCGCAAACAAACAAGCAAACCAGUAAUU